UACGUAGGAGGCGAGCGUUGUCCGGAUUCACUGGGCGUAAAGGGCGCGUAGGCGGCGGCUUGAGUCCCUGCGUGAAAUCUCCCGGCUCAACCGGGAGGGUGCGCGGGAUACUAGGCGGCUUGAGGACAUCAGAGGAGAGCGGAAUCCCCGGUGUAGUGGUGAAAUGCGUAGAUAUCGGGGGGAACACCAGUGGCGAAGGCGGCUCUCUGGGGUGCACCUGACGCUGAUGCGCGAAAGCGUGGGGAGCGAACCGG
rnacentral:rRNA from 1 species